CGUUCUAUGGCCGAACUGGUGAAGGCAUCGCCAACUACAGGCGAAGAUGCGGGUUCGAGUCCCAAUAGAACGG
rnacentral:tRNA from 1 species